UUUUCCUGUCUGCUCUGCUUGUCUGUCUGUCCCUGGAGCUGGCGGCCGGAUCCGCGGCUACUUUGUGGCGGAGUCGGGGCCCGGCUCACCCGCGGCGGCAGGAGUCGGUCUGGCCGACCUCGGGCUCCGGGAGUUUGUCGCAAACGUCUGCGGAGGUGCAGCGGCCUGAGCUCUGAGCGCAGGUAGAAAACCACCAAGUUUUUAAACUGCAACAUCUGCUGUGCUUUGCUGGCUCUCCAUGGACAUUUCAAUAUGCUGUGUUAUGGAGUGGUGUCUGUCUGGCUGUAGUGUCCAGCAUCAAUACACUGUAGGGUCAGCGCAGAGGUAGUUUAUUGUAUUGGUCACUAAGCUGUGUGCUGAGUCUUGUGGUAGGUUCCUUACAUUCGUCUUUCUAUUUAAUACACGUGGCAUUUUACACAUGAAUAAACUCAAAAGGUAGAUAACUUGCUAAGAUUAUAACACUACUGAAAAAGAGCAAGGCUUAGAACAGGGUAUCUUGUAUGCUACCUUUCACAUAAAAAAAUUCACAUAUAUAUCUGCUUAUUUUGCAAAUAGAAAUUCAGGAAGGAUAAAACAGCAGCUAAUGAAAGUGGUUACAUGUAAGGGGGUGGGUGACUAGGAGUUGAAGGGAAUAUGGCAGGCAGUGAGAUUUCUGCCCCCUUUUGAGUUUUGAUGUACACAAAUGUCCUACAUUGUCACACUGAUAGCUUGUUCACACAGAGAAAAAUGAUUGUUUUAAGUUACUUUAAAAAAAAAAAAAAACAGUACUCUGGGUAUAUCCUUAGAGAUGAAUUUAUUAUUCAUAGUAACGUUGAUGUGAAAAGAAGGUAGGAAAUGGAAACUUCCAUUGGCACAGAACAGUAUGGAAAGGUUUGUCCUAUUUCUGUACCUACCUAUGUGUGUUAGGAAAAACUCUUGGAUUGAAACUAGAGAAGUUCCAAAGAAGCCAUUAUAAGAUAGGCAGUAUAGAGUGUGGUGUAUGGGUCAUAAUUAGGUGUUAAUUCGUGUAAAGAGGUAGAUGAAGGACCCAGCAUGCUGAAUUAGACAGGAUGGUGGAAGUGGUAAGCAUUUGGAAAAAGAAAUUUUUAUAUUCUAAUUUCUUGACACAAUCUCAGUUUUUCUUCUGUAAAAUGAAGACAAACAGUAAAGGAUAGAUAGGGCCAGUACUGAGCCCUGAGGGACCUUUUCAGGUAACACAGUGAGUUUAUUAUUAAUUUCAUUUCAGGAAAAGGCUAAUUACUGGACCCUGAAUUCAGUGCUCAAAGGUCCUUCUGUUAAAGAAGUCUCUUCUGACUACCAUGUUUAGAGUUGUAAACUUUUCUCCCACCCCUUUUACCCUUUUUAUCCUUCCCGGAAUCUGUCACCUUGAGACAAACUAUAUUGUUUAUUUGUAUGUCUAUUGUCUGUUCUGUCUAGAGUAUAAGUUUCGCAGUGGCAGGUGUAUUUAUUGAAUGAUGAAGAAGACGGUUGUGGUGAGGAUUAUAUAAUGCAUGUAAAGCCUUAGAGUUGGCCGUGGACAUUACUCAACUAAAUGUAAGAUCAAGUUCACUCAUAGCCAGCUAGCAGGUUUUGAACUUUGUCAUUAGGUGUUGUCAGAUGUAAGUUUUUCAAAACUUUUAAAUAUUAUUAUACCAUUUGGAAUGGCUUACUUGUUUCCCUUUUUAAGUAUUCAGGUACACGCAUAUUUACUUAGCCCUUUACAAUAUCAAUUACUACCAAAAUUGAGAGACAUGGCUAUAAGACUAGAAUGCAAAUUACUGGAAUUUUAGAAAAUAGCUAUUGGACAGAUAAGGUCUGAUUUUUUUUUUUUUUUAAUCAUAUAGCAUAAGUGAUCUUGAGAUGUGAUGAGCCACACAACAUUGGGUUAAAAGUUAACUAUCUUUUGAGACUGUAGCUUUAUUGCUCCCAUAAGUAAAGUCUGUAGGGAAUAAAAAGUCACAAAAAACAGUCUCAAAAAUUACUGAUGAUGGACACAGGCAUUUUUGAUAUUUGAAACUCUUAAGCUAUUUUGUAAAAAGAAAUCUUUCCAUCAUUAUGCAGCAGAGCACAAAAUAAAUUGUUUGGCAAACAAGUUUAUUGGCCAGCUCUAAAGGAUCACCAGAUGUUUUAAUAAUUCAUUGAAUUAUUUGUCAACAUAUCUUUACCAAGGCUCUUAAUGAAAGAUACGUUAAGGCAAUUGUAACCAACUCUGUUAAGAUUAAAUCCCUUGAAUGAUGGGAUUUGAUGAAUGGGAAAUUAUGAAUGAUUUGAACAUUCUAACCUAUAAACAGAAUUAAGAGGGCUCCCCAGAAGACAUUGUUUUUAAAUGUUUCAUUCAGUAUUUGAUACACUGUAGAAGUUUUGGAUUAAUGAAUGGAAAGUUAAACAUCAGAGUUCCCAGGUAAUGUUGAUGGUACUGGGAGAAGAUUAUAAAAUUAUCAGCUAACACUUCCUUAGUGCUUAAUAUGUGCCAGGCAAGGCUGUAAUUUAUCUUGUGUAUUAUAAAUAAAUGCUGUAUGUCUUAAAUUCAAAUAUGUCUGGUCUGUUACUAACCUAACAGGUUUUUAUUCUAGCAUCCACCCUUUUGUUUUCUUAAACUUAUAUGCAGUGACUCCUGAUAGUCAUUAUCCAUAAAUUUCAUUUCAGGAGAGUAAAGAGGAUUUUACAAAAACUUGCUAUAAAAAUGGGGUGUUGGAUGUGAUAGGGUUGGGUACCACUGACAUUAAUCCCAGGUAAUUCUCUAAAAUCCGCUCUCCAUCCCAGUAACACUAGGCUUCCGAACCCCCACCCCCUAGGUUGUAAGAUAUAAAGCACAGCGCACCUGUCCGAAGCAUGAGAACCUGUGAUUGGGCUCCAUGAUUCAGUUGCCUGUGUGCCUUAGAAUACCACCGUGAUUAUUUAGCUAUUCCAUAGUCCAAACUGGGUCCAGCUCCAGCAGAAGGCUUUCUGUCUGGAAGAUCCUUGUCAUCAAUCUUCCCUUUUGUCUAGGAGCUUCUCAGAACAGCGACCCCAGGUCCAAAGGAUGCACUCCACUCCUAGCGCUUCUCUCUUGGUGGCAUGAGGUCCCUCCCCUGGCUCAGUGAGCAGGGGACACAAUACAAUCCAAUACACACGUUCUAGUUUUUGCAGGUUUUACUGUACAUUUAGUAAUUAGAAUUCUGCUGUGAGGCAAAUCUUUUAUCUAUCACCAUGGAUUUUUGGAUAUAUACAGUAUUCUUAGGGUUAUAAUCCAAUACUUUCAUUAUUUAUACUGUUGCUGAAAUUGUUGCAGCUUUGGGCUUCGGGAGCUCUUUCAGGUGAACUCCUGUGUCCUUCUGACAUGUCUCUCCCUCUCUCUCUUUCUCCCCCUUUUCCCGUCCUCUCUCUUUUUAGAACUUCCUUAUUUUCUGGUGCUUUAAGAUGCUCCAGACAUCUUGUAAUUUUCCUGCCCCAGCCUUAAAAUCAGCCGUUUCUCCUGGAUCUUUGUACUGAAAAAUGGUGUUUAGAAACCAAGGCACAAGAUGCACUAGUUGCUGCUAGGGUGUCACUGCUUCUAGGCCCUCUCAGUGGGCAAACCUAGGAAAUACAUGUCUGUAUACUAACCCAUGUACACACACAUAUAUAUUUCUGGGUCUAGGUAUGUAUGAAAUGAGCUCAUACUAAUCUCUCCAACUCUAAUCUAGCACCAGCAUUCAUUCUAGCCUUCUACUCCUUACUUAUUUAUAACUUCUUUCUUAGACUCUGAGAAACCUAUCUCCUAUUAUUUACUAUUCAUUUACUUAUUUGUUCACACUAGUGUAUGUGCAAAGUAGUUACAGAUUGCUAACUUGUACACCUAUAAGAAACAAAUUUACCAACUGUAGUACAAACCAGUUGCUGCCAAGUCUAUUCCAACUUUCAGUUACCCCAUAUGUUACAGAGUAGAAUGGCUCCAUAGGGUUUUCUUGUCUGUAGUCUUUAUGGAAGCAGAUCACCAGGCCUUUCUUCUGUGGCACUGCUGGGUGGGAUCCAAUCUCCAGUUUAGAUUACUAGUCAAGUACAAACUCUGCCGCCUUAACUGUAGUGCAGUGUUUGUCUUCUAUCUUUAGCUUUACAUUAUCCAGUCAAAACACUUUUCAAAGUUAAUUAGGUCAGCUCCCAGAUUUACUCAUAUAAAAUGAUAACUUAUAAACUAAUUGCCAGGAAAAUAUCCGGUAAGAAUUGGCAUUUAAAAAGCUCAAUUCAUAAUUCUGUGGCCAUUUCAGAAUAAACCUCUUUAAAGACUGAUCCGUCAUUGGAAUCUAGGUAAUCCAGAUACAAAAUGCAAGAGAAGAAGAAAAUCGCUUCAUUCUCUGAAAUCAUUUAAGAUUGGUUCCUCCUUCAAUUCUUCCAAAACUAAACAGGUGCACUGUUGGAGAACAAAUGCUUAUUAUUCUGCUGGUCAUUACAUUGUGACCUUACAGAAGACAGAGUUUAAAUGUAGCAAUCUUAAAGUUAACAACCAUCAGUCAAUACCACUGCAAAGAAAUACUGCAAGGGAGCAGUGUCUGCAUUACCUUGCAACAAUUCUGCAACAUGUAGCUUCCUUUCAAACCCAGAGAUCUGGAAAACCAAAGAUGAAGUAAAUGCCGUUCAAAAUACAAAAUUAUAAUAUACAGCAAAUUACAACUGUGGGGAAAUACAUAUAGUAAAAAUAAUUGUUACAGGGAGAAAAAUGAGGAUGAUUUUCUCUAUUUUCCAAAAUGGGUACUGUAGGAUUUAAAAUUUAAUUUUUGGAAGAGAGAUUUGUGGUGAUGGAAUUAUUUUGUAUCUUCAUUGUGGUGGUGGUUACAAAAAUAUUAACAUAUGAAAAAUGGCACAGAACUAUGGAAUAUUGGUACACAUGUUAUGCCAAUGUCUUACAGUUCUGUGCCAUAGCACGUGUUAUACCAAUGUUAGUUUCUUGGUUUUGAUAUUAUACUAUAGUUACUUCCAUUGGGAAAUCUACAUGAAGGGUCCAUGGGAUCUCUCUGUACUAUCUUUGCAACUUUCUGUGAAUCUAUAAUUACUUCAAUAAAAAAGUUUUAAAAAUUAAUGACAUUUUAAAGCUUCAAAUUAAACUUUAUAUUACAUAUAUAUAUUUAUAUGCGUAUAUGCAAUAUUUGGGAAACCCUGGUGGCAUAGUGGUUAAGUGCUACAGCUGCUAACCAAAGAUCAGCAGUUGAAAUCUACCAGCUGCUCCUUGGAAACCAUACGGGGCGGUUCUACUCUGUCCUAUAAGGUCACUAUGAGUCGGAAUCCACUCGAUGGCAACAGGUUUGGGUUUUGUUUUGUUUUGUUUGUAUGCAACAUAUAUAAUAUAAUCUAUUUUUGGUUGCCUUGUUUUAAAAAAAUGGGUUUCAAAUGACUCCCUGUGACUGUCACUCUGAGACACCCUUUAAACCUAGAACCAAGCCUUUCGCCUGAGAUCAUCUUUUAGCAAAAUGGCAUAGUGGCACACAAAAUAAAGGAUUUUACCUGUACAAUUGGUGCUGUACUUAAAGAUCAUCAGUAUGAGACCAAAGGGUCAACAAUUACUCAAAGGCAAAGAUGAGAAGAUAAGGGGGUAGGGAAAUUAGAGUACUGGAAAGGGAACAAACAAAACACAAAGAGAACGGUGACACAUUGUGAUAACUGCAAAUAAUGUCACUGAACAAUUUGUAUGGGAACUGAUGUGGAAAUGCUGGUUAACAAAACAAACAACAAUAAAAAUGAUUGUGUAAAAAAUGUAUAUGUAGGUUAGAAGGUUUCAAAAGACAAUGGGUAGAAAUAGAAACUAAGGCAUAGUGUUUUUGAGAAACACCAUAUAAACUAAAUGUUUACUGUUGAAAUAGUAAAGCUCUUAUAUAGACCACUUACAGCGUCCAGACAUACUUCCUCCUGGUGGGCCCUGCUGCUCAUGUGUAAUGCUUGUUGAGUGAAUGAAUGAAAGGAUGAGUGUACAGAGCUGGGCUGGGCCUUAUGUUAUCAUCUCCCCAAAACAGAUGGAAUGCCGAUGGCGAGAUUAGUUCUGAACUAGAAUCAAGGUCACUUUUUAUAUUUCAUUUCCCUGCCUCCAUUCCACGUCCCACUAUUCUUUAGAACACAAGUUUUCACUGAGUUCUCUUACCUAAACCUACUUUGUUAUUUCAAAUUCGAGGGUAGGGUUGGAAGGAGAUGGUCACUUCUAACUAUUUCUUUUCCUCUUAAGACCAAAAGGGUUACGGGUACAGAAUCUCAACUGGCACUGCUUGGUUUACUUGACCUUAAGUUUAGUCUUCUGGUUAGGAAAACAUUAUUUCUAAUACAAGAUUCAUUUUAAACUAAAGCUUGUUCAAUAUCUGGACCCUAAAUUUAGUUGCUAGGACUUUAUCCUCUUUUUUUUUCAGGAAGAGAAAACAAAACCGUUAGGUGCUGUUAAGUCUGCUCAGACUCAUAGCAACCCUAUGUACAACAGAAUGAAACAUUGCCCUGUCCUGCUCCUUCCUCAAAAUUGUUGCUAUGUUUGAGCCCAUUGUUGCAGCCAGGGUGUCAAUCCAUUUCAUUGAGGGUCUUCUGCUGUUUUGUGGACCUUGUACGUUACCAAGCAUGACGUCCUUUGGUCCCUUCUGACAACAUGUCCAAAGCACGUAAGAUGAGGUUUCGCCAUCCUCCCUUCUAAGGAGCGUUCUGGCUGUACUUCUUCCAAGACAGAUUUGUUCUUUCUGCUAGCAGUCCAUGGUAUAUUCAAUAUUCUUUGCCUAUACCAUAAUUCAAAGGCAUUAAUUCUUCAAUCUUCCUUAUUCAUUGUCCAGCUUUCCCGUGCAUAUAAGGUGAUUGAAAAUAUAAUGGCUUGGGUCAGGCACACCUUAAUCCACAAAGUGAUAUCUUUGCUUUUUAACACUUUAAAGAGGUCUUUGCAGCAGAUUUGCCCAGGGCAGUACAUCGUUUGAUUUCUUGACUACCACUUCCAUGGUGUUGAUCGUGGAUCCAAGUAAAAUGAAAUCCCUGACAAUUUCAACCUUAUCUCUGUUUAUCAUGAUGUUGCUUAUUGGUCCAGUUAUGAGGAUUUUCGUUUUCUUAAUAUUGAAAUGUAAUCCAUACUGAAGGCUGUAGUGUUUUUAACUAUACAUAUAAACCAAACUCAUGGCCGUCAAUUCUGACUCAUAGUGACCCUAUAGGACAGAGUAGAACUGCCCCAUACGGUUUCCAAGGAGUUCCCGGUGGAUUUGAAUGGCUGACCUUUUGCUUAGCAGCUGAACUCUUAACCACCGCACCACUAGGGUUUCCUUUUUAACUGUAAUACACAAAAAUUCUCAGUACACAUUUGACCUCUUUUUUCUUUUGUCCUGAAGUUAGAUAACUGUGAAAAGAACCUUAAACAACCCUCUAUAAAGGGAAUAUGUAACAGGUUACAAUUCAGGAUACUGUUCUUAGGGUAGCCUCUUCUCAGCCAUGCCUCUACCCUGCUGGGGCAAGUGUUACCAAGCCCUUUAGCUCCACCAAUAAGAACCCAUCCCCCACACACAUUCCUCCAGUAAGCCUAGGCCCGCACUCAGCCCUCUCUUCUGUGGGUCUGUGAGCCUAGCUCCACCAAGUGCCCGGAGGCACCCCACUCCACCAGCAAGCCUCUUGCCCAAAGGUACUCAGCUCUUUGGGUCCAUGGGUCACCAAGCCCCACCACAGCUCUAUACACCUAGAAUUCUAGAGAAAUUGAGGCAAGCAGGUGACAUCACCCAUCACUCCUCAUUCACUGAUAACUUCAGCACUUGGCUCAACGUCUUCCUUUUCAUUCCUAGUUCUGUAUCUUAAGGAGCCCCUGGGUGAGCAAACAGUUAAGUGCUAGACCAUGAACCAAAAUGUUGGUGGUCCGAAUCCACCCAGAGUCACCUCAGAAGGUUAUAACCUUGAAAGCCCUAUGCAAUGCAGUUCUACUCUGCACACAUGAGGUCAUCAUGAAUCAGAAUCAACUGGAUGGCAGCUGGUUUGGUUUCAUUCUAAACCAGCUGCCAUUAGCCAUUAGUGUUAGUGAUCUGCUAUUCACUUUAGCUAGCUAUUCUCAUAUAGCCUUGACCUUAUUGUCACCAUUAAUUCCACUUUCUGGAAUUAAUGACCACCCCCUCAAUCCAUUCUUUGAUUUUAUCAUACUUAUAGUCUCACCGUAGGUAUUCUUCAACCUUAUUGUGGUGUCUCCACUCCAUUGAACCUACCACUUUCACGCUGUUGGUUAUCCCCUUAUUCCCUCUUCUCACAGCUUAGAUGCCAUCAUUAUGGAAUAACGAUUUAGUGACUAUUGUUAUAGUCAGUCC